CCUACGGGCGGCAGCAGUGGGGAAUAUUGCACAAUGGGGGAAACCCUGAUGCAGCGACGCCGCGUGCGGGAUGAAGGCUUUCGGUAUGUAAAGCUCUAUCAGCAGGGAAGAAAAUGACGGUACCUGACUAAGAAGCCCCGGCUAACUACGUGCCAGCAGCCGCGGUAAUACGUAGGGGGCAACCGUUAUCCGGAUUUACUGGGCGUAAAGGGAGCGUAGGCGGAAUAGCAAGUCUGAUGUGAAAACCCGGGGCUCAACUCCGGGAGUGCAUUUGAAACUGUUGAUCUAGAGUGUAGGAGAGGCAGGCGGAAUUCGUGGUGUAGCGGUGAAAUGCGUAGAGAUCAGGAGGAACACCAGUGGCGAAGGCGGCUUGCUGGACGAUGACUGACGCUGAGGCUCGAAAGCGUGGGGAGCAAACAGGAUUAGAUACCCUGGUAGUC
rnacentral:rRNA from 1 species